UACGUAGGGGGCAAGCGUUGUCCGGAUUUAUUGGGCGUAAAGAGCGUGUAGGCGGCCAUACAGGUCCGUUGUGAAAACUCGAGGCUCAACCUCGAGACGUCGAUGGAAACCGUAUGGCUAGAGUCCGGAAGAGGAGAGUGGAAUUCCUGGUGUAGCGGUGAAAUGCGCAGAUAUCAGGAAGAACACCCGUGGCGAAGGCGGCUCACUGGGACGGUACUGACGCUGAGACGCGAAAGCGUGGGGAGCGAACAGG
rnacentral:rRNA from 1 species